rnacentral:rRNA from 1 species
AAAGGAAUUGACGGGGACCCGCACAAGCGGUGGAGCAUGUGGUGUAAUUCGAAGCAACGCGAAGAACCUUACCAGGUCUUGACAUCCCUCUGACCGGUCCGUAACGGGACCUUCCCUUCGGGGCAGAGGAGACAGGUGGUGCAUGGUUGUCGUCAGCUCGUGUCGUGAGAUGUUGGGUUAAGUCCCGCAACGAGCGCAACCCUUAUCCUUAGUAGCCAGCAGUUCGGCUGGGCACUCUAGGGAGACUGCCAGGGAUAACCUGGAGGAAGGCGGGGAUGACGUCAAAUCAUCAUGCCCCUUAUGAUCUGGGCUACACACGUGCUACAAUGGUGACUACAAAGGGAAGCGACCCUGUGAAGGUGAGCAAAUCCCAAAAAGGUCAUCCCAGUUCGGAUUGUAGUCUGCAACUCGACUACAUGAAGCUGGA